GAUGAACGCUGGCGGCGUGCCUAAUACAUGCAAGUCGAGCGAACGGACGAGAAGCUUGCUUCUCUGAUGUUAGCGGCGGACGGGUGAGUAACACGUGGAUAACCUACCUAUAAGACUGGGAUAACUUCGGGAAACCGGAGCUAAUACCGGAUAAUAUUUUGAACCGCAUGGUUCAAAAGUGAAAGACGGUCUUGCUGUCACUUAUAGAUGGAUCCGCGCUGCAUUAGCUAGUUGGUAAGGUAACGGCUUACCAAGGCAACGAUGCAUAGCCGACCUGAGAGGGUGAUCGGCCAUACUGGAACUGAGACACGGUCCAGACUCCUACGGGAGGCAGCAGUAGGGAAUCUUCCGCAAUGGGCGAAAGCCUGACGGAGCAACGCCGCGUGAGUGAUGAAGGUCUUCGGAUCGUAAAACUCUGUUAUCAGGGAAGAACAUAUGUGUAAGUAACUGUGCACAUCUUGACGGUACCUAAUCAGAAAGCCACGGCUAACUACGUGCCAGCAGCCGCGGUAAUACGUAGGUGGCAAGCGUUAUCCGGAAUUAUUGGGCGUAAAGCGCGCGUAGGCGGUUUUUUAAGUCUGAUGUGAAAGCCCACGGCUCAACCGUGGAGGGUCAUUGGAAACUGGAAAACUUGAGUGCAGAAGAGGAAAGUGGAAUUCCAUGUGUAGCGGUGAAAUGCGCAGAGAUAUGGAGGAACACCAGUGGCGAAGGCGACUUUCUGGUCUGUAACUGACGCUGAUGUGCGAAAGCGUGGGGAUCAAACAGGAUUAGAUACCCUGGUAGUCCACGCCGUAAACGAUGAGUGCUAAGUGUUAGGGGGUUUCCGCCCCUUAGUGCUGCAGCUAACGCAUUAAGCACUCCGCCUGGGGAGUACGACCGCAAGGUUGAAACUCAAAGGAAUUGACGGGGACCCGCACAAGCGGUGGAGCAUGUGGUUUAAUUCGAAGCAACGCGAAGAACCUUACCAAAUCUUGACAUCCUUUGACAACUCUAGAGAUAGAGCUUUCCCCUUCGGGGGACAAAGUGACAGGUGGUGCAUGGUUGUCGUCAGCUCGUGUCGUGAGAUGUUGGGUUAAGUCCCGCAACGAGCGCAACCCUUAAGCUUAGUUGCCAUCAUUAAGUUGGGCACUCUAAGUUGACUGCCGGUGACAAACCGGAGGAAGGUGGGGAUGACGUCAAAUCAUCAUGCCCCUUAUGAUUUGGGCUACACACGUGCUACAAUGGACAAUACAAAGGGCAGCGAAACCGCGAGGUCAAGCAAAUCCCAUAAAGUUGUUCUCAGUUCGGAUUGUAGUCUGCAACUCGACUACAUGAAGCUGGAAUCGCUAGUAAUCGUAGAUCAGCAUGCUACGGUGAAUACGUUCCCGGGUCU
rnacentral:rRNA from 1 species